rnacentral:rRNA from 1 species
AGUGAACGCUGGCGGUAGGCCUAACACAUGCAAGUCGAACGGCAGCACAGUAAGAGCUUGCUCUUACGGGUGGCGAGUGGCGGACGGGUGAGGAAUACAUCGGAAUCUACUUUUUCGUGGGGGAUAACGUAGGGAAACUUACGCUAAUACCGCAUACGACCUACGGGUGAAAGCAGGGGAUCUUCGGACUUUGCGCGAUUGAAUGAGCCGAUGUCGGAUUAGCUAGUUGGCGGGGUAAGGGCCCACCAAGGCGACGAUCCGUAGCUGGUCUGAGAGGAUGAUCAGCCACACUGGAACUGAGACACGGUCCAGACUCCUACGGGAGGCAGCAGUGGGGAAUAUUGGACAAUGGGCGCAAGCCUGAUCCAGCCAUACCGCGUGGGUGAAGAAGGCCUUCGGGUUGUAAAGCCCUUUUGUUGGGAAAGAAAAGCAGCAGGUUAAUACCCCGCUGUUCUGACGGUACCCAAAGAAUAAGCACCGGCUAACUUCGUG